rnacentral:rRNA from 1 species
GAGUUUGAUCCUGGCUCAGAACGAACGCUGGCGGCGUGCCUAACACAUGCAAGUCGAACGUGAUCCAGAGCUUGCUCUGGUGAAAGUGGCGCACGGGUGAGUAACGCGUGGAUAACCUACCCUGGUAUCCGGGAUAACAUUCCGAAAGGGGUGCUAAUACCGGAUAAGCCCACGGGCUYUUUGGAGCUUGCGGGAAAAGGUGGCCUCUGAAUAUGCUACUGUAUCAGGAUGGGUCCGCGUACCAUUAGCUAGUUGGUGGUGUAAUGGACCACCAAGGCGACGAUGGUUAGCUGGUCUGAGAGGAUGAUCAGCCACACUGGAACUGAGACACGGUCCAGACUCCUACGGGAGGCAGCAGUGGGGAAUUUUGCGCAAUGGGGGAAACCCUGACGCAGCAACGCCGCGUGAGUGAUGAAGGCCUUCGGGUCGUAAAGCUCUGUCAGAGGGGAAGAAGUGAUAGGGUGCUAAUACCACUUUAACUUGACGGUACCCUUAAAGGAAGCACCGGCUAACUCCGUGCCAGCAGCCGCGGUAAUAC